CGCCUGGAGCUCCGCUACCCCCCCACCCUGGCAGCCCUGGCCCAGGAGUUGGGGGCAAUGGCGGCCCGAGCCCGGCCCCCCGGCUUGCUGCUGCUGGACGGGCUGGAGCACUACAUCCAGGGGGGGCCCAGCGCCCCCGCCCGCCUGGCCGCCCUGCUGCUGGAGGCCUCCCGCGCCCCCCGACCCCCGGCCCGGCUCCUGGCUGCCCUCCGUGUGCCCCCCCCCGGGCCCCGUGUGCUGCCCGUCCUGCGCCGUUACUUCCCGGCUGAGUGCCGUCUGAGACCCCUCCCCGGGGUCCCACUGCGGGUGAACGUCCGCCUCGUCCUGCCCGGAUCGGUGCCGCGGGGAUGGAGGCUGCGCUUCGAGCCCCACGGGGGGCUGAACGUCACCCCCGGGCCUGGGGACGGCGAUGGGGACGAGGAUGAGGACGGAGAUGGCAGUGGGGAUGAAGGCUGAGGGUGAGUCGGGUGGUGAUGUGCAGCCCUCGGGUGUUGUGGUGUCACUGAGCCUGGCUGGUGUGGAGCCCAGGUGAUGUGGAGCCCAGGUGACACGGGGACGUGGAGCUGCCCGGUGACACGGUGACAUGGAGCACAGGUGACGUGGAGCCCAGGUGACAUGGUGACAUGAAGCCCAGGUGACACGGUGACAUGGAGCCCCAGUGACGUGGAGCUCACAUGACACAGUGCCAUGGAGCCCAGGUGAUGUGGAGCCCAGGUGACACGGUGACAUGGAGCUGCCCGGUGACAUGGAGCCCACAUGAGACAGUGACACGGAGCCCAUGUGACACAGUGACACGGAGCCCAGGUGAUGUGGAGCCCAUGUGACAUGGUGACAUGGAACUGCCCGGUGACACGGUGACAUGGAGCCCAGGUGACAGGGAGCCCACAUGACUCAGUGACAUGGAACCCAGGUGACACAGUGUCAUGGAGCCCAGGUGACAUGGAGCCCAGGUGACACGGUGACAUGGAGCUGCCCGGUGACAUGGAGCCCACAUGAGACAGUGACACGGAGCCCAGGUGAUGUGGAGCCCAGGUGACACAGUGACAUGGAGCCCAGGUGAUGUGGGGCCUGGGUGACACGGUGACGUAGAGCUGCCCAUGUGACAUGAAGCCCAGGUGAUGUGGAGCCCACAUGACACAAUGACAUGGAGCCCAGGUGAUGUGGAGCCCAGGUGACACGGUGACAUGGAGCUGCCAGGUGACAUGGAGCCCAGGUGACACGGUGACAUGGAGCCCAGGUGAUGUGGAGCCCAGGUGACACGGUGACAUGGAACUGCCCGGUGACACGGUGACAUGGAGCCCAGGUGACAUGGAGCCCACAUGACUCAGUGACACGGAACCCAGGUGACACAGUGACAUGGAGCCCAGGUGAUGUGGAGCCCAGGUGACACGGUGACAUGGUGACACAGUGUCAUAGAGCCCAGGUGACGUGGAGCCCAGGUGACACGGUGACAUGGAGCUGCCAGGUGACAUGGAGCCCAGGUGAUGUGGAGCCCAGGUGACACGGUGAUAUGGAGCUGCCCGGUGACAUGGAGCCCACAUGAGACAGUGACACGGAGCCCAGGUGAUGUGGAGCCCAGGUGACACGGUGACAUGGAGCCCCAGUGAUGUGGAGCCCAGGUGACACAGUGACAUGGAGCCCGGGUGAUGUGGAGUCCAGGUGACACGGAACCGAGGUGACAUGGGGUCUGCAUGGCACAGUGACACGGAGCCUGGGUGACACUGUGGCGUGGGACCCAGGUGACAGGGAACCAAGGUGACACAGAACCUGAGUGACACAGACCCAAAUGGCACGGAACCCAGGUGACACAGAACCCAGGUGACAUGGAGCCCUGGUGACAUGGGACCGGGUGACACAAUGCCUAUGUGUCAUGGAACCCACGCGACAUGGAACCCAGGUGACACGGAACCCGAGUGCUAUGGAACCCAGGGGACGCAAUGCCUGUGUGACACAGAACCCGGGUGACAUGGAAUGCAGGUGACAGAGUCUGUGCGGCACGACACGGAGCCUGGGUGACACUGUGACACGGAACACAGGUGACACGGAACACAGGUGACAUGGAACCCAGAUGGCACAGUGCCUAUAUGACAUGGAACCCAGGUGACACGGAACCCAGAUGUCACAGAACCCAGGUGACACAGUGCCUAUAUGACACAGAACCCAGGUGACACAGAACCCAGGUGACACAGUGCCUAUAUGACACAGAACCCAGGUGACACGGAACCCAGAUGUCACAGUGCCUAUAUGGCACGGAACCCAGGUGACACAGAACCCAGGUGACACAGAACCCAGGUGACACAGAACCCAGGUGACAUGGAACCCAGGUGACACAGUGCCUAUACGACAUGGAACCCAGGUGACACAGAACCCAGGUGACACGGAACCCAGAUGUCACAGUGCCUAUAUGGCACGGAACCCAGGUGACACAGAACCCAGGUGACAUGGAACCCAGGUGACACGGAACCCACGUCACAGUGCCUAUACGACACGGAACCAAGGUGACAUGGGACCCAGGUGACACGGAACCCAGGUGACACAGUGCCUAUACGACACGGAACCCAGGUGCCACGAGCCCCCGUGCCGCACUGCUGGUGUCCGGAGGUGUCCGGAGGUGUCCGGAGGUGCCAGGAGGCGACACGAGCGGACAGCCCACGUUAUCAGUGCCCUCACAGCCACCCCCCUCCCCCCCCCCGACACCCACAGCGUGGGGCUGAGCGCGUGCUGUGCCCCCCCCCGGCCCUGGGGGCUCUGAUAAGGCCUUAUCACCGCCCCCACCCCACCCCACCCCCCCCCGAGGCGCUGCGUGCGCUCACGAGUGCUUUAUUGUAUAAAACAGUGGCAAACCAACACGAGUGGCCCCAAUUCGGCGUAUGGACAUUGGGGGGGGGGGGGGGGGUGGGACGGGACCACCCCCACAACCCCGCUGUGUCCCCACGUGACGUCACUGCGACGUGUCCCCUCCGUCCCCGUGUCGUGGUGAGUCCACGUGACGUCACUAUGACGCGUCACCUCCAUCCUCGUGUCGUGGUGAGUCCACGUGACGUCACUAUGACGCGUUACCUCCAUACUCGUGUCGUGGUGAGUCCAUGUGAUGUCACUAUGAGUCCAUGUGACAUCACUACAGUGUGUCAUCUCCAUCCUCGUGUCAUGGUGAGUCCAUGUGACGUCACUACGACGUGUCCCCUCCAUCAAUGUGUCACAGUGUGACAUACCCUCGUGUCGUGGUGAGUCCACGUGACAUCACUAUGACGCGUCACCUCCAUCCUCGUGUCGUGGUGAGUCUCCUCCAUCCAUGUGUCCACAGUGUGACACGUCCUCGUGUCAUGGUGAGUCCACGUGAUGUCACUGUGUGUCCAUGUGACAUCACUGUGACUUCUCCCCUCCAUCCUUGUGUCGUGGUGAGUCCAUGUGACAUCACUAUGACGUGUCGCCUCCAUCCAUGUGUCACGGUGUGACACAUCCUCGUGUCAUUGUGAGUCCACGUGACAUCACUGUGACGUGUCCCCUCCGUCCCCGUGUCGUGGUGAGUCCACGUGACGUCACUAUGACGCGUCACCUCCAUCCUCGUGUCGUGGUGAGUCCCCUCCGUCCAUGUGUCACAGUGUGACACGUCCUCGAGUGUUGUGAUGAGUCCACGUGACAUCACUAUGACACGUCACCUCCAUCCAUGUGUCACAGUGUGACACGUCCUCGUGUCAUGGUGAGUCCACGUGAUGUCACUAUGAGUCCACGUGACAUCACUACAGUGUGUCACCUUCAUCCUCGUGUCGUGGUGUGACACGUCCUCGUGUCAUGGUGAGUCCACGUGACAUCACUACGAUGUGUCCCCCUCAUCCUCGUGUCAUGGUGAGUCCACGUGAUGUCACUGUGAGUCCAUGUGACAUCACUACAGUGUGUCCCCUCCAUCCUUGUGUCGUGGUGAGUCCACGUGACGUCACUAUGACGCGUCACCUCCAUCCUCGUGUCGUGGUGAGUCCCCUCCGUCCAUGUGUCACAGUGUGACAUGUCCUCGUGUCAUGGUGAGUCCACGUGACAUCACUACGAUGUGUCCCCAUCAUCCUCGUGUCAUGGUGAGUCCACGUGAUGUCACUGUGAGUCCAUGUGACAUCACUAUAGUGUGUCACCUCCAUCCUCGUGUCAUGGUGAGUCCACGUGACGUCACUACAGUGUGUCCCCUCCAUCCAUGUGUCAGUGUGACACGUCCUCGUGUCAUGGUGAGUCCACGUGAUGUCACCAUGAGUCCACGUGACAUCACUAUGACGUGUCCCCUCCAUCCUCGUCUCAUGGUGAGCCCACGUGACGUCACUAUGACGUGUCCCCUCCAUCCUCGUCUCAUGGUGAGCCCACAUGACAUCACUAUGAUGUGUCCCAUCUGUACUCAUGUCAUGGUGAGCCCACGUGACCUCACUAUGACGUGUCCUCUCCAUCCUCGUGUCAUGGUGAGCCCAUGUGACGUCACUAUGACGUGUCCUCUCCAUCCUUGUGUCAUGGUGAGUCCAUGUGACAUCACUAUGAUGUGUCCCCCUCCAUCAAUGUGUCACAGUGUGACACGUCCUCGUGUCAUGGUAAGUCCAUGUGAUGUCACUAUGAGUCCAUGUGACAUCACUACAGUGUGUCACCUCCAUCCUCGUGUCAUGGUGAGCCCACAUGACAUCACUAUGACGCGUCCCCUCCAUCCUCGUGUCAUGGUGAGCCCACGUGACGUCACUAUGACACGUCCCCUCCAUCCUCGUGCCGUGGUGUGACACGUCCCCGUGUCGUGGUGAGCCCACGUGACCUCACGUCGCCGUGUCCCCUCCAUUCGGUGUCACCCCAUCCCGGGGGGUGUCCCCAACCCCCCCCUCCGCCCCCCUCUCCCCCCCCCCCCAUCCAUUAAGAGCACAGCACGUAGGGGGGGGGCAUUGGGGGGGGCCCCAACGCCAGGAGGGUCCCGGGGGGGUUCCCAUUGCACGGAAGCUCCCGUGGGGGUCUCCUGUCGUGGGGGGUUUCUUUGGGGGGUCCCCUCCUCGGGGGGGGGGGACCCUUUGUGGGGAGGGGCCAGGUUGGCGUAGGGGCCGCCGGGGGGGGUCGUGGGGGGGGGGCGAUUUGGGGGUGCCCCCUGGGGCAGAGCAGGGCCGAGCCGGGGUCAAACAGCGUGUACUCAAAGCUGGAGGCGGGCGAGGGGCCGCUGGGGGGGGCCGAAGGGGGGGCAGACGGGGGGGUCCCCGGGGGGGGGCUCUUUGCCCGGGGGGGGGCCCCACCUCUUCCACGGCACUGGGCUGUUCCUCGGCUUCCGGGGUGCCUCCGGGGGGGCUCCAGGGCUCCACCACCCCUUGGUACAGCCAGAGCUGCGGGGGGGGGGGGGGGGGGGCACGGGGUCAGGCAUCGCCAUGGGUGCCCCCCCUCACCCCCCCAUAUACCCCCAAUGAACCCAACCCCCC
rnacentral:lncRNA from 1 species